CGAGUCUUUUUAGUGUCUUUUCA
rnacentral:siRNA from 1 species